GCCGGGUGUGGUGACAAACACCUGUAAUCUCAGCUACUUGGGAGACUGAGGCAGGUGGACAGGAGUUCCAGGUCAUCCUGGGCAACUUAUCAAGACCCUGCCUCAA
rnacentral:sRNA from 1 species